CCUACGGGAGGCAGCAGUGAGGAAUAUUGGUCAAUGGGCGUAAGCCUGAACCAGCCAAGUCGCGUGAGGGAUGAAUGUUCUAUGGAUUGUAAACCUCUUUUAUAAGGGAAUAAAGUGCGGCACGUGUCCCUUUUUGUAUGUACCUUAUGAAUAAGGAUCGGCUAACUCCGUGCCAGCAGCCGCGGUAAUACGGAGGAUCCGAGCGUUAUCCGGAUUUAUUGGGUUUAAAGGGUGCGUAGGCGGACUUUUAAGUCAGCGGUGAAAGUCUGUGGCUCAACCAUAGAAUUGCCGUUGAAACUGGGAGGCUUGAGUAUGGUUGAGGUAGGCGGAAUGCGUGGUGUAGCGGUGAAAUGCUUAGAUAUCACGCAGAACCCCGAUUGCGAAGGCAGCCUGCUAAGCCAUGACUGACGUUGAUGCACGAAAGCGUGGGGAUCAAACAGGAUUAGAUACCCUUGUAGUC
rnacentral:rRNA from 1 species